rnacentral:rRNA from 1 species
AACGAACGCUGGCGGCAUGCCUAACACAUGCAAGUCGAACGAAACGUUCGGGCCUUGUUGCGCACGGGUGCGUAACGCGUGGUAACUUGCCCUUAGGUUCGGUACAACUCCCCUUAAGGUGUGUUAAUACCGGUUAAUCUCUUCGCGCCUAAGAUUUUUUGCCUUUUGGUGGGCGUUCGUUAGUUUAGCUGGUUGGUAGUGUAUAAGCCUACCAAGGACACGAUGCAUAGCUGGUCUGGGAGCAUGACAAGUCACAAUGGGACUGAGACACGGCCCAGACUGCUACGGGAGGGAGCGGUAGGGAAUAUUGGAGAAGGAGGGAUAGUGUGGCACAGCAAUGCGGGGUGAGUGGUGAAGGCGUUAGGAUUGUACAGCUCUUUUACCCGAGAUGAUAAUGACGGUACCGGGAGAAUAAGCACCGGCUAACUACGUG